UGCCGAAACCCGGGAUCGAACCAAGGACCUUUAGAUCUUCAGUCUAACACUCUCCCAACUGAGCUAUUUUGGC
rnacentral:tRNA from 1 species